GCGGGUAUAGUUGAAUGGUAAAACGAGGGACUGUGGAUCCCUAGAUGCGAGUUCGAUUCUCGCUACCCGCA
rnacentral:tRNA from 1 species